AACGAACGCUGGCGGCAGGCUUAACACAUGCAAGUCGAACGCCCCGCAAGGGGAGUGGCAGACGGGUGAGUAACGCGUGGGAACGUGCCCUUCGCUUCGGAAUAACCCCGGGAAACUGGGAGUAAUACCGAAUACGCCGUAUUGGGAAAGAUUUAUCGGCGAAGGAUCGGCCCGCGUUGGAUUAGCUAGUUGGCGGUGUAAUGGACCACCAAGGCUACGAUCCAUAGCUGGUCUGAGAGGAUGAUCAGCCACACUGGGACUGAGACACGGCCCAGACUCCUACGGGAGGCAGCAGUGGGGAAUCUUGGACAAUGGGCGCAAGCCUGGUCCAGCCAUGCCGCGUGAGUGAAGAAGGCCUUAGGGUUGUAAAACUCUUUCGCCGGAGAAGAUAAUGACGGUAUCCGGAGAAGAAGCCCCGGCUAACUUCGUGCCAGCCGCCGCGGUAAGAC
rnacentral:rRNA from 1 species